CCAGUGCUUUAGCAUCACAGCUCCCCAGGUCCAGCAGGUGGAGGCGACUACGACCCCCUGACACUGAAAUGUGUGGAAAAACAGGAUGAAACUGAAGUGGAGCUUUUAAAAAGAGAACAAAGAAUGGAUCCCUGCCCAAUCCAACAGGACAAUUUAGUGAGUUUGACAGUGAAGCUGCAGCUCUUAAGGCUGUCAAGUCCUGGUUCUGUGGCUGACUGCUUCAGCCAGCUGCACAGGAACGUUGCACUGCAGACUAUAAAACACCGGGGAAGUUGCGUUCAAGAGGCUUGUUACCCAGUUUGGAGUGUCCGAAGCAGAAGAUGCAGCCGUCCGCUCCGUUCACCACUGA